UACUGAUGCCUUUUCUAAAGGUUUAGGUAUUUUCUGGAUUCUGAAGUUCUUUAACAAAUGCUGAGUUUUCUGCAAACAUACUUUGUUCGUGGAUGUGGAGCAUUUUUCUUUUUUUCGGAGCUGGGGACUGAACCCAGGGCCUUGCGCUUGCUAGGCAAGCGCUCUACCACUGAGCUAAAUCCCCAACCCCAAUGUGGAGCAUUUUUAUGCCAAGCACUUGGCUACAUUCUUUGUUUUUGUUUUUUAUGUACACACACACACACACACACACACACACACACACACACACACACGGGUAUAUUUUAUAUAUAUGGAUAUAAAUGAAUGUGUUUGGUCUGUAUCAAUUUAAGUGUACUAAUUUUGUGCCUGGUGCCCUGGGCUGCACCACAUCCCCUGGAGCUUCAGUUCAGGGCAGUUGUAAGCUGUGUGGGUACUGGGAAUUGAACUGGGUCCUUUGUAGGAGUAGCAGGUGCCCUUCACCACUGAGCCAUGUCUGCACCCUCCACUGACCCAGGUUUCUUUAUGGUCAUCAUUCCUCUACAUUGUCACUACAACCCCCUAUGUACUGUAUGCCCAGAGACUGUAAAACUGUUUGAAGUUAAGUAAUUUUCCUAAGUCACAUGGGUCAUGGUCAUGGAAACUAGUAGUCAUCACAACUUAAACCCAGGUUUGUUUCAGAAUCUGUUUAGCUGACUGAUAGCAAAUCUAAAGUUUCUGACACAGUACUGACUCAUGUCAGUGCUCAGGUAAAUGUAAGAGAUUAAUUCAUGUUUUGUGUGAUACCUUAUAUACUAAGGCAAAUAAAAUUGUAUAAGCAGUAAGAGUAGGACAUUGUUGAUUGUGUGUUGCUGCAGAACCUAGGCAUCAUAUAUAGCAGCCUUGUGUAUCUUUCUUGCUUCUAGAAAGAGUGUGUAAUGGUUAAUAACAACAAAGAUAUUAAAGGAGCCCAAAAGCAUUGACAGAUAAGGGGGGGAAUGAUAGCCACCUUGGCAAGAAUGAACAGCAUGAGCAUGCAGGGAAGGAGCUGUGAGAGUCUCCAUGAAAGUGUUACUGAGUGAUGCCGCUUCAGUGCAGAGCAUGGCUUGCAGGGUGGAAGUGGGCAAGAGCCAAGACUAAAGGCAUCCAGUCAGAAGCCGGGCCACGGUAUCAUACCAGCAUGUUUAGAACUUGAAUUCUGCCCCUGUGCCAGGAAAAUAAGCCAGUGGAGGCUUGUUAAUGGGGGAUGCUGUGUUGGUUUGUGCCCAUUAAGGUGUUAGGGCGUGUGGGAGAAUAAGGCCGGAGCGUACAGCCUGUUGAACGUCUAUAGGGAGAUAGGUUCUCCCACAAAAUACUGUCAGAAA
rnacentral:sRNA from 1 species